rnacentral:rRNA from 1 species
CCCUACGGGGCGCAGCAGUGGGGGAUAUUGGACAAUGGGGGGGAACCCUGAUCCAGCGACGCCGCGUGAGUGAAGAAGUAUUUCGGUAUGUAAAGCUCUGUCAGCAGGGAAGAAAGCAAUGACGGUACCUGACCAAGAAGCCCCGGCUAACUACGUGCCAGCAGCCGCGGUAAUACGCAGGGGGCAAGCGUUAUCCGGAUUUACUGGGCGUAAAGGGAGCGUAGGUGGCAGGGCAAGUCAGAUGUGAAAACCCGGGGCUCAACUCCGGGAGUGCAUUUGAAACUGUCCAGCUAGAGUGCAGGAGG